rnacentral:ncRNA from 1 species
ACGGAAGCCCGGUGAGGCCUAGGUCGAUCCGGAAGAGAAGGUUCGUUCUCCCGAUCCGGGCACCUAGCACGGUUCUCGGCACCCACGCUGAGUCACAGCCGCGAUAAUGGCAGAAGUGUUGCGGGCCUGCGUAAUUGCGAAAAGUGAAAGGUAUCGACGGCCCUUUGGGUGGGGUUGCAACCGGAAGCGUCGCAAGAUCGCCGAGGCCAUCCCACGCAGCCCAUAGGAUGUACGCCUGGUAACCGAGUUCCGUGUUAGCGGGCGGCGGACCGAAUAAAUCGGAUCGCCGCCCGCUUUCACAU